UACGGGGGGGGCAAGCGUUGUUCGGAAUUACUGGGCGUAAAGGGCUCGUAGGCGGCCAACUAAGUCAGACGUGAAAUCCCUCGGCUUAACCGGGGAACUGCGUCUGAUACUGGAUGGCUAGAGGUUGGGAGAGGGAUGCGGAAUUCCAGGUGUAGCGGUGAAAUGCGUAGAUAUCUGGAGGAACACCGGUGGCGAAGGCGGCAUCCUGGACCAAUUCUGACGCUGAGGAGCGAAAGCCAAGGGAGCAAACGGG
rnacentral:rRNA from 1 species